AUGCCAGACUCGGCUUUUCCUUCUCACAUUUCACUUCUUGCUCCUAGUAACAAGGUGAACCUCGACUCCUGCGGUAUGCCGGCCAAAGGCCCCUUGGACUUCUCCCUCGCCUUAGCCUCCUCUGCCUCUGCCUCGAGCCCCAGCCAUUCUCUGCCACCUCACACAUUCCAUUGCCCAUUCCUGGAUUCUGCAGUAAAGGCUGGGGCCACUGGUGGUGCUCUCUCUCUGUCUCCCUCUCCUCUUCUCUCUCCUCUCUCCCUCUAUCCUCUCUCUACUCCUCUCUCCCCUCUUCUUUCUCUCCUCUCUCCCCUCUUCUUUCUCUCUCCUCUCUCCCUCUAUCAUCUCUCUACUCCUCUCUCCCCUCUUCUCUCUCUCUCUCUCUCCCCUCUUCUCUCUCUCUCUCUCUCUCCCGGGCCCGAUCUCUCGGCCGCUGUCCCUGUCUCUAUCUCUCUCUCGGCGG
rnacentral:lncRNA from 1 species